rnacentral:rRNA from 1 species
UGCAAGUCGAGCGGACAGAUGGGAGCUUGCUCCCUGAUGUUAGCGGCGGACGGGUGAGUAACACGUGGGUAACCUGCCUGUAAGACUGGGAUAACUCCGGGAAACCGGGGCUAAUACCGGAUGGUUGUUUGAACCGCAUGGUUCAGACAUAAAAGGUGGCUUCGGCUACCACUUACAGAUGGACCCGCGGCGCAUUAGCUAGUUGGUGAGGUAACGGCUCACCAAGGCGACGAUGCGUAGCCGACCUGAGAGGGUGAUCGGCCACACUGGGACUGAGACACGGCCCAGACUCCUACGGGAGGCAGCAGUAGGGAAUCUUCCGCAAUGGACGAAAGUCUGACGGAGCAACGCCGCGUGAGUGAUGAAGGUUUUCGGAUCGUAAAGCUCUGUUGUUAGGGAAGAACAAGUGCCGUUCAAAUAGGGCGGCACCUUGACGGUACCUAACCAGAAAGCCACGGCUAACUACGUGCCAGCAGCCGCGGUAAUACGUAGGUGGCAAGCGUUGUCCGGAAUUAUUGGGCGUAAAGGGCUCGCAGGCGGUUUCUUAAGUCUGAUGUGAAAGCCCCCGGCUCAACCGGGGAGGGUCAUUGGAAACUGGGGAACUUGAGUGCAGAAGAGGAGAGUGGAAUUCCACGUGUAGCGGUGAAAUGCGUAGAGAUGUGGAGGAACACCAGUGGCGAAGGCGACUCUCUGGUCUGUAACUGACGCUGAGGAGCGAAAGCGUGGGGAGCGAACAGGAUUAGAUACCCUGGUAGUCCACGCCGUAAACGAUGAGUGCUAAGUGUUAGGGGGUUUCCGCCCCUUAGUGCUGCAGCUAACGCAUUAAGCACUCCGCCUGGGGAGUACGGUCGCAAGACUGAAACUCAAAGGAAUUGACGGGGGCCCGCACAAGCGGUGGAGCAUGUGGUUUAAUUCGAAGCAACGCGAAGAACCUUACCAGGUCUUGACAUCCUCUGACAAUCCUAGAGAUAGGACGUCCCCUUCGGGGGCAGAGUGACAGGUGGUGCAUGGUUAUGGGGGGCCCAUGCCGCGAGAUGCAGGCUUAAGUCCCGCAACGAGCCUCUCCCUUGAUAUUAGUAGCCCCCACUCAGUGUCUCAUCCUCAGGCGAUCUUCGGUGCCAAACCGUAUCCCGGUGGGGACGAAGUUAAAGCAUCAUGCCCCUUUUGACACCCGCUACACACCUGCUAGGAUGGGAUGAUCCAAAGGGCAGGGCGACGCGAGGUUGCAUCAUCCCUGCUAAUCUGUAGACAGUUCGGUCCACAAUCUGCAACUCUUCUUCCCGAAGCCGGAACCUCUGGUAAUCGCGGAUCAGCACGUCGCGGUGAAUACGUUCCCGGGCCUUGUACACACCGCCCGUCACACCAAGAGAGUUUGUAACACCCGAAGUCGGUGAAGUAACCUUUAUGGAGCCAGCCGCCGAAGGUGGGACAGAUGAUUGGGGUGAAGUCG